UCAAAAUUGAAAAAGUAAUUUGAAGCCUCGACUGACACAAAAUCAAGGAUGACUAUGCCCAAAGCAAUUAUCAUUUUGUUGUGUGUCUCCGUUGCCUUUGGUUCCCAGUAUGGUUACUAUGGUGACAACGAUCGCUUCGAUUUAGAUGAUGACUCCUAUCGUCUACGUAUACGUCUCGGAGGAAGUGGAUACAGUGGUGCAAGAUUUAUCAGACCCAAUGUCUACCCUAAAUAUGCUGUACACAGAGUUGUAAGCCGGCCAUCUAUAAUUAUCCGUGGUGGAUACUAAAAAAACCUGCAGGCAGAACAAAGAACAUCCAAGGAAAAGCUGAUUCCACAAAAUGCCACAGUGACAGAUUGAAUCAGUUGUCUCCAUUUCAAUAAUGUUGUUGUUUAAUAUGAUUAAACAGACGAGUUAUUGCUCAAUCUUUUAUAAAAAAAUAAUUUUCAA